rnacentral:rRNA from 1 species
AGCUCAGUAACACGUGGCCAAACUACCCUAUAGAUCCGGCCAACCUCGGGAAACUGAGGCUAAUCCGGGAUAACGCUUUCAGCCUGGAGUGGCGAGAGCGUGAAACGCUCCGGCGCUAUAGGAUGUGGCUGCGGCCGAUUAGGUAGACGGUGGGGUAACGGCCCACCGUGCCAGUAAUCGGUACGGGUUGUGAGAGCAAGAGCCCGGAGACGGUAUCUGAGACAAGAUACCGGGCCCUACGGGGCGCAGCAGGCGCGAAACCUUUACACUGCACGCGAGUGCGAUAAGGGGACUCCAGGUGCGAGGGCAUAUAGUCCUCGCUUUUCUCGACCGUAGGGAGGUCGAGGAACAAGUGCUGGGCAAGACCGGUGCCAGCCGCCGCGGUAAUACCGGCAGCACAAGUGAUGACCGCUGUUAUUGGGCCUAAAGCGUCCGUAGCUGGCCAGACAAGUUCAUCGGGAAAUCUGCGCGCCUAACGCGCA